GGGGAACCCUUUUCCCGCAUAGCCGUUGACAUUGUGGGUCCACUGGCCAGGGCUAGUCCAUCCGGGAAGAGGUAUAUUAUCACAGUGGUGGACUACGCCACACGUUAUCCAGAGGCAGUAGCGCUGUCUAAUAUAGAGGCAGAGAAAGUGGCUGAUGCCCUGGUUAAGAUUUUUUCUAGGGUCUAGUUCCCUCAAGAGAUUCUCUCUCCGACCUGGGAACUCAGUUUACCGCUGUUGCCACCCAGCAGCUGUGGAAGGUGUGCGGCAUUAAACCGCUGCUUAGCUCACCUUAUCACCCACAGACUAACAGCCUCUGCGAGCGAUUUAAUGGCACCCUCAAGCAGAUGUGAGGACCUUUACUGACACUUGCAGAGACUGGGAGCGAUUCCUGCCUCAUCUGU